rnacentral:misc_RNA from 1 species
GAUGAAGAACGUAGCGAAAUGCGAUAAGUAAUGUGAAUUGCAGAAUUCAGUGAAUCAUCGAAUCUUUGAACGCACAUUGCGCCCGCCAGUAUUCUGGCGGGCAUGCCUGUUCGAGCGUCAUUACAACCCUCAGGCCCCCGGGCCUGGCGUUGGGGAUCGGCGGAGCCCCCCGUGGGCACACGCCGUCCCCCAAAUGCAGUGGCGGUCCCGCCGCAGCUUCCAUCGCGUAGUAGCUAACACCUCGCGACUGGAGAGCGGCGCGGCCACGCCGUAAAACACCCAACUCUUCUGAAGUUGACCUCGAAUCAGGUAGGAAUACCCGCUGAACUUAAGCAUAUCAAUAAGCGGAGGGA